rnacentral:rRNA from 1 species
UACGUAGGGUCCGAGCGUUGUCCGGAAUUACUGGGCGUAAAGAGCUCGUAGGUGGUUUGUCGCGUUGUCCGUGAAAACUCACAGCUCAACUGUGGGCGUGCGGGCGAUACGGGCAGACUGGAGUACUGCAGGGGAGACUGGAAUUCCUGGUGUAGCGGUGGAAUGCGCAGAUAUCAGGAGGAACACCGGUGGCGAAGGCGGAUCUCUGGGCCUUACCUGACGCUCAGGCGCGAAAGCUAGGGGAGCGAACAGG